rnacentral:rRNA from 1 species
UACGAAGGGUGCAAGCGUUAAUCGGAAUUACUGGGCGUAAAGGGUGCGUAGGCGGUUGUUUAAGUCUGUCGUGAAAUCCCCGGGCUCAACCUGGGAAUGGCGAUGGAUACUGGGCAGCUAGAGUGUGUCAGAGGAUGGUGGAAUUCCCGGUGUAGCGGUGAAAUGCGUAGAGAUCGGGAGGAACAUCAGUGGUGAAGGCGGCCAUCUGGGACAACACUGACGCUGAAGCACGAAAGCGUGGGGAGCAAACAGG